GGUAGCGUGGCCGAGCGGUCUAAGGCGCUGGUUUAAGGCACCAGUCUCUUCAAAAAGGCGUGGGUUCGAAUCCCACCGCUGCCA